UACAGGGGGGGCAAGCGUUGUUCGGAAUUACUGGGCGUAAAGGGCUCGUAGGUGGCCAACUAAGUCAGACGUGAAAUCCCUCAGCUUAACUGGGGAACUGCGUCUGAUACUGGAUGGCUUGAGUUUGGGAGAGGGAUGCGGAAUUCCAGGUGUAGCGGUGAAAUGCGUAGAUAUCUGGAGGAACACCGGUGGCGAAGGCGGCAUUCUGGACCAUUACUGACGCUGAGGAGCGAAAGCCAGGGGAGCAAACGGG
rnacentral:rRNA from 1 species